GUAUGGGGCAAGCGUUGUUCGGAUUCACUGGGCGUAAAGGGCGUGUAGGCGGUGUGGUAAGUCGGAUGUGAAAUCUCCAGGCUCAACCUGGAAACUGCAUUCGAAACUGCCAUGCUUGAGUACCGGAGAGGGAAACGGAAUUCCUGGUGUAGGGGUGAAAUCUGUAGAUAUCAGGAAGAACACCGGUGGCGAAGGCGGUUUCCUGGCCGGAUACUGACGCUGAGGCGCGAAAGCUAGGGGAGCAAACAGGGAUUAGAUACCCUGGUAGUCCUAGCUGUAAACGUUGUGCACUAGGUGUAAGUGGUUUCAACCCCACUUGUGCCGUAGCUAACGCAUUAAGUGCACCGCCUGGGGAGUAUGCUCGCAAGGGUG
rnacentral:rRNA from 1 species